GAAUUAAGGCUCGGUAUAGCCAAGGAUUGAGAUGCGGAUAGGUCUAAAAUAAGUCUGUGUUUACCUGAGGAUUUCCCGGUGACUAAUCCUAUAGGGUUGGUUCUCCAAUUGGAAAAUGGGUGCUCCCGAAAAGGACCCAAGAAGAACCCAUCCUCCAAUUCUUUUUGUAAAAGAGUAUCAACCAUUUCCACGUCAGAAAAUGCUGAUUGUAAAUUGUUGCAUUCGUAAAUGCCAGAGGGGAUAUGUACUAAACCUGUAUGAAAUCCCUCCGUGAAACCAUCUAUUAAGAAAUCCACCAGGUGUCUGGAUGGGUAAGAGGCUGAUGCGUGAGCCAAAGAACCAAUCUUUAUGGAUGUCAAGUAAGGUUUAGCAUGACUUUUAUUAGGACACAUGGACUUGGCGUGGGCCCUAAAACAAUGUGAACACACAUGUAACAUUCUGCAGGCACUAUAGCCACAGGUACCUAUGUUAAAGUUGUUACACACCUGUGACUUUCCUAGGUAAAAAAAAACGACCGAGUUUGUCCUUGCCAGAUCUGUCCAACCUAGUAUGUGGUUCAUGGAAAGUCCCAGGUGUGGACUCUGGCAUAGUGGGACAAUAGUCCGAGGAAUGUGAUGUAGAAGCUGGUGUCUUGAGACCAGCAAAAUGCCUACAAAAUAGCUCCGUAUCCAUACGGCUCCAGUCAGUUUUGAUGUUAUACUGAGCCAAAAUUGCAGAUGCUCUUGCCGAAAAAGACUGGUGGUAGUCAUAAAAGGAUGACUCACCGUAUUUGCUUCCCAAAUCCACCAGCUUGUGCAUGUAGAGGUCGAGUUCCUCUCGUCUAUGCGGGUAAACAGAACAAAUUACAUCACGAUAGAUACCAAAAGCUUAGACAAAAUCAGUUAUGGAUAGUUUCUUAUUCAGUCUAGGGUCCCUGGCUUUGA